CCCCAAAAAAAAAAAAACUCGUCCUCAUGAUGAAAUUAUAUAAUCUUACCUUGUCAUUUACCCUUCUGGCAUGAGUGGAGCAGAAACUGUCAAAAUCAUUUCUCAGCACUUGGUUACAUAUAAAAUCUUCGGAGAACCCGGUGGUCCUCACUAUGCACACUAUGAUUUGGUUGGAGGACGCCUGGCUGCAGAUCAAGUUCAUCCUUGUAUAAUUGAGUUCCUCAAUCGCCAUGAUGUGAUAUGAAUAUUCCCGAGGAAAUAUCUUCACCAUUCUACUUAUCUUCUCAUACUCUCCCUAUCCUUGCAAUCCAUUCUUAUUUUUGGCAUCCAAAUGAGUGCUUGAUAUUUAAGUUGCGAGGGAAAUGUCAAAAUGACUCUCGUGUAAUGUGUAUAUGUAUAUAUGUGGAUUAAAAGGAAAGUAUUAUGUAUUACAAGAGAAGAUACAUUUUUUUUUCCUUUUUGAGAUGAAAUACAAGAAGGAUAGAUUUACAGACUGAAUUAGGUUGUACGUCAAGGUUUUAUUGAGUGAUAAAAUUGUAUAAAUCCUUUAUAAUUAUAAAUUACAAUGGUGACCCAAAUGAUAUAUGAUUCCAAUCUCUUUU